UACGAAGGGGGCUAGCGUUGCUCGGAAUUACUGGGCGUAAAGCGCACGUAGGCGGCUUUAUAAGUCGGGGGUGAAAUCCUGGAGCUCAACUCCAGAACUGCCUUCGAUACUGGAGAGCUCGAGUCCGGGAGAGGUGAGUGGAACUGCGAGUGUAGAGGUGAAAUUCGUAGAUAUUCGCAAGAACACCAGUGGCGAAGGCGGCUCACUGGCCCGGUACUGACGCUGAGGUGCGAAAGCGUGGGGAGCAAACAGG
rnacentral:rRNA from 1 species